UAUUACUGCCUCUCUGCCAACUUCCUAGUCUUCCUCCAGUCCAACAUACAUCAAGGAUUCAGGGCUUCAGCAAAGGAAAAGGCGUCCAGCCAGAGAAGAAAGCUUUAAUGGAUAAUGAGGCCACUGGCCACAUCAUCUUUCAUAUACUUGGAAGGAUCUCUGAGGGAUGAAGGGAAACCAGGGCCCUCAAAGUACAAGCAAGCCAAGGAGUUGAGGACACAGUGGAAGUGCUGAGACCACCACCAAAUUGCUCAGCUUCUGAGGUUUCCUACCUCUGCUCCUGUUACCUCAGCCCUCCUCACCCAGAGAACAGACUCCUCAAUAAAAGGAGCAACAUGCUCCCGUCAAACAGCAGGAAAGGCAAGACAGCAAAGAACGCAAGAUGUGCACUCAUAGUGGGCUGUGGCGAACCCGCCCCUGCAUCCUCUACUGCCCGCAGGUGCCACUGGAAGCCGUGCUCUGAUCGCCAUCCCCACAUCCACCCUCUGCCCUGCCCCUUUUCCAGAUGCCUGGGGACCAUGCUUAGAACAAUCCAAACAGAAGA
rnacentral:lncRNA from 12 species